AAUGAACGCUGGCGGCGUGCCUAACACAUGCAAGUCGUACGAGAAAUCCCGAGCUUGCUUGGGAGAGUAAAGUGGCGCACGGGUGAGUAACGCGUGGGUAACCCACCUUCGAAUCUGGGAUAACUCCGCGAAAGCGGUGCUAAUACCGGAUAAGACCACAGCCGUUUCGGCGGCAGAGGUAAAAGCUGACCUCUCCAUGGAAGUUAGCGUUCGAGGACGGGCCCGCGUCCUAUCAGCUUGUUGGUGGGGUAAAGGCCUACCAAGGCAGCGACGGGUAGCUGGUCUGAGAGGAUGAUCAGCCACACUGGAACUGGAACACGGUCCAGACUCCUACGGGAGGCAGCAGUGAGGAAUUUUGCGCAAUGGGGGAAACCCUGACGCAGCAACGCCGCGUGGGUGAAGAAGGCUUUCGGGUCGUAAAGCCCUGUCAGGUGGGAAGAACCGUUUCGAUACUAAUAAUGUCGAAGCCUGACGGUACCACCAGAGAAGCACCGCCAACU
rnacentral:rRNA from 1 species